UUGGUCAAUGGGCGGGAGCCUGAACCAGCCAAGUCGCGUGAGGGAAGACGGUCCUAUGGAUUGUAAACCUCUUUUGUCGGGGAGCAAAGAGGCCACGUGUGGUCUAAAAGCGAGAGUACCCGAAGAAAAAGACAUCGGCUAACUCCGUGCC
rnacentral:rRNA from 1 species